GACGUAGGGUGCGAGCGUUGUCCGGAUUUAUUGGGCGUAAAGAGCUCGUAGGCGGCUCGUCGCGUCGACCGUGAAAACCCGCGGCUUAACUGCGGGCUUGCGGUUGAUACGGGCGGGCUAGAGUUCGGUAGGGGAGACUGGAAUUCCUGGUGUAGCGGUGAAAUGCGCAGAUAUCAGGAGGAACACCGGUGGCGAAGGCGGGUCUCUGGGCCGAUACUGACGCUGAGGAGCUAAAGCGUGGGGAGCGAACAGG
rnacentral:rRNA from 1 species